CCUACGGGAGGCAGCAGUGAGGAAUAUUGGUCAAUGGGCGCGAGCCUGAACCAGCAACGCCGCGUGAAGGAAGAAGGCUUUCGGGUUGUAAACUUCUUUUGUCAGGGACGAAGCAAGUGACGGUACCUGACGAAUAAGCCACGGCUAACUACGUGCCAGCAGCCGCGGUAAUACGUAGGUGGCAAGCGUUAUCCGGAUUUACUGGGUGUAAAGGGCGUGUAGGCGGGGAAGCAAGUCAGAUGUGAAAACCACGGGCUCAACCUGUGGCCUGCAUUUGAAACUGUUUUUCUUGAGUGCUGGAGAGGCAAUCGGAAUGCCGUGUGUAGCGGUGAAAUGCGUAGAUAUACGGAGGAACACCAGUGGCGAAGGCGGAUUGCUGGACGGCAACUGACGGUGAGGCGCGAAAGCGUGGGGAGCAAACAGGAUUAGAUACCCUUGUAGUC
rnacentral:rRNA from 1 species